rnacentral:rRNA from 1 species
CAGCCCUUGACAUGUCCGGCCAGCUACAGAGAUGUAGUGUUCCCUUCGGGGACCGGAACACAGGUGCUGCAUGGCUGUCGUCAGCUCGUGUCGUGAGAUGUUGGGUUAAGUCCCGCAACGAGCGCAACCCUCGCCUUUAGUUGCCAUCAUUUAGUUGGGCACUCUAGAGGGACUGCCGGUGAUAAGCCGGAGGAAGGUGGGGAUGACGUCAAGUCUUCAUGGCCCUUACGGGCUGGGCUACACACGUGCUACAAUGGCGGUGACAGAGGGCAGCUAGUCCGCGAGGACAUGCUAAUCCCUAAAAGCCGUCUCAGUUCGGAUUGCACUCUGCAACUCGAGUGCAUGAAGUUGGAAUUGCUAGUAAUCGCAGAUCAGCACGCUGCGGUGAAUA